CACGCCGUAAACGAUGAGUGCUAGGUGUCGGGUGUCAAAGCUCGGUGCCGGAGCUAACGCAUUAAGCACUCCGCCUGGGGAGUACGUACGCAAGUAUGAAACUCAAAGGAAUUGACGGGGACCCGCACAAGCAGCGGAGCAUGUGGUUUAAUUCGAAGCAACGCGAAGAACCUUACCAGGACUUGACAUGCCCUUGCCCGUUCUAGAGAUAGAACCUUAUCUUCGGAUACAAGGGACACAGGUGG
rnacentral:rRNA from 1 species